rnacentral:rRNA from 1 species
GACGAACGCUGGCGGCGUGCUUAACACAUGCAAGUCGAACGGAAAGGCCCUGCUUGCAGGGUACUCGAGUGGCGAACGGGUGAGUAACACGUGGGUGAUCUGCCCUGCACUUCGGGAUAAGCCUGGGAAACUGGGUCUAAUACCGGAUAGGAGCCAUUUUUAGUGUGAUGGUUGGAAAGUUUUUUCGGUGUAGGAUGAGCUCGCGGCCUAUCAGCUUGUUGGUGGGGUAAUGGCCUACCAAGGCGGCGACGGGUAGCCGGCCUGAGAGGGUGGACGGCCACAUUGGGACUGGGAUACGGCCCAGACUCCUACGGGAGGCAGCAGGGGGGAAUAUUGCACAAUGGGCGCAAGCCUGAUGCAACGACGCCGCGUGGGGGAUGACGGCCUUCGGGUUGUAAACUCCUUUCGCUAGGGACGAAGCUUUUUGUGACGGUACCUAGAUAAGAAGCACCGGCUAACUACGUG